rnacentral:rRNA from 1 species
UACGUAGGGUGCGAGCGUUAAUCGGAAUUACUGGGCGUAAAGUGUGCGCAGGCGGCCGCGCAAGUCGAGUGUGAAAGCCCCGGGCUUAACUUGGGAAUUGCGCUCGAAACUACGUGGCUGGAGUGUGGCAGAGGAAGGUGGAAUUCCAGGUGUAGCGGUGAAAUGCGUAGAGAUCUGGAGGAACACCGAUGGCGAAGGCGGCAUCCUGGACCAAUUCUGACGCUGAGUGAGCGAAAGCCAGGGGAGCAAACGGG